ensembl:lncRNA
AGGGGGCGGAGCCACCCUGCAGUAGAGAGGUGCGGCGGAAAGAGGAAGUCCAACAGCCUUCUCUGGAGCUUGGAGUGCGGCUCACAGCCGCGAGCGUAACCUCUGACGGUCGUAGAGUGCCUGCAUCGGUUGUCAGGAAGGGUCUGUCUGAAGGAUCAACACUGAAGCUGAGACCCCAUCCCAAAUUCCUUCCACAUGAUAAUAAUCUAUUUGCAAGCUUGGCCCCCACAGGAGGUUGAAACAGAAUAGGGUCCUGGAAAAAAAAUCGCAGUGUUUGGAAUAAGCGAAGCCCAGGUUCUACUCCCAGCCCUGUUCCUUCUCAACUUCCUGCCGAAUGGAAACCACCACCACCAGAGAGCAGUAGCGAGAACCGUGUGAGACCAGGCAUGUGAGACCUGCUUGCCCAGAGUUCUCGCCCCAGAGACUUCGAGAGAAAGAAGUCUCAUCCUGAGCCCCUGCCCCCUGGCCUGCUUCCACUGCCUGUGGCCUGGAGGACCAUCCCCCUCCUCAUAUCUCAUCUUGACAGUCUGUGCCUGUCACCAGCCUCAUCUCCUCCUCACCCUCCACCGUACCCUGCUGUCUGAAAGGUCCUUCCCCCUCACCACCCCAGUUAAGGGCAGUGGGUCUAGGGAAAUCCCUGGCAGUCCAGUGAUUAAACUAGGUACUCUUACUGUGGUGGCCCAGUUUCAAUCCUUGGUCAGGGAACUAAGAUCCUGCAAGCUGUGCGGAGCAGCAAAAAAAAAAAAAAAAAAACAAAAAACAGUGAAUCUGUUGUCUCCUCUUUGCCCUCUCACUCUUAACUUCCAAGAGUCCCCAAAACUUUAACAACUUUCACUCCUUCUCCCUCAUGCUGUCCUUGAGAAUAUCAUCCAUUCACAGGGCUUCAAGAUGUACACCCUUAUGGGUAACUCCCAGAUCUUCAUCACCAACCCCAGUCUGACUGCUUACGUGGUUGCCUGCUCAAUUCACAACCAUCUCUAGAAACAGUCCCAGUACACCAGAACACCCUAUAGCAACCCGGUCUCAACC